UGUCCGGAAUUAUUGGGCGUAAAGCGCGCGCAGGCGGCUUCCCAAGUCCCUCUUAAAAGUGCGGGGCUUAACCCCGUGAUGGGAAGGAAACUGGGAAGCUGGAGUAUCGGAGAGGAAAGUGGAAUUCCUAGUGUAGCGGUGAAAUGCGUAGAGAUUAGGAAGAACACCGGUGGCGAAGGCGACUUUCUGGACGAAAACUGACGCUGAGGCGCGAAAGCGUGGGGAACAAACAGGAUUAGAUACCCUGGUAGUCCACGCCGUAAACGAUGGAUACUAGGUGUAGGAGGUAUCGACCCCUCCAGUGCCGGAGUUAACGCAAUAAGUAUACCGGCCUGUGGAAGUACGAUC
rnacentral:rRNA from 1 species